UCCCUUCCAUUCAUUUCAAUGGAAGGACAGCGGAGAGGGCGGGGGACCUUGGGGUGGUGCGGUUGCGUCCGAGGCUGUGAAAAAUCUAAAAUUUCCCCAACUUUAUGCAAAACACCAGUGGCGACUAAUCAUAUCGAGUGGUUCCCAUGACGAAUUUGACGCUAUGCGACCCAAGCCUGGAGACUUUCUUCAGCAAAGAUGGCUGACAAAAAUACUAGGAUGGAAGCAAAUGGACUCCUGAAACAACCAGCAAACCAGUCUUGUGAAACAGUGGAUGUAAAGAAUCUAGCUAGCUAAAGCAUUUACUGCUAAUUUUAUGUACAAUUGUGUAAGCUUGCCUUUCUGUUAUUUGCCUUGCAAUGCAGAUGAAAUAACGUAAGUUAGCUAGUUAACUAUUUUCUUGCUUAUUGUGCAGUGGAGGAUAAAAAUACAUGUACGCCUAUGGAUAUGUAGCUAGCUAUGCAGCCGACCUGUGUAUGCACACUAAAACGUUUUGUAUACAUAUUAGUUCAGAAACUAGCUAUGAACCUCAGCUAUCAUAGCCAGUUGUAUCAACUUCAAAACAGUCUGAAUGACAAUGAAGUCUAUAGAUUGAGUAGAAUAUAAAUAACUUUGUGCCAAGGAUGCAAGUCGUAUAUACAUGUAGUUAUUACCAUGCUUGAGAUCCCCACAUUGUACCCUGUAACGUUACAUUUUAAUAUAUUCACUGAUCAUGUGCUCUACAUUGGCAAAUAAAGAUGCAGUUCAGGUA